GACAGAGGGUGCAAACGUUGUUCGGAAUUACUGGGCGUAAAGCGCGUGUAGGCUGCUCGGAAAGUCGGAUGUGAAAGCCCUGGGCUCAACCUAGGAAGUGCAUUCGAAACUUCCGAGCUGGAGUGCUGGAGAGGAAGGCGGAAUUCUCGGUGUAGAGGUGAAAUUCGUAGAUAUCGAGAGGAACACCGGUGGCGAAGGCGGCCUUCUGGACAGCCACUGACGCUGAGACGCGAAAGCGUGGGGAGCAAACAGG
rnacentral:ncRNA from 3 species